AUGCAUUUGUUGAGUGGGCAAGUAACAUGCAAUUGCAAUGUCAACGUUAAAUAGGCUAGUGAUUAAUUGUGACUACUAGGCCUACGGGUUGUCGUUCACACUGGCCGCCUCCACCAUAAUAGUCAGAUGUCUGCCACUGCAGCUGACGUUGAGACAACUCUCCUGCAAGUCCUCGCCUGAUACUGCCUGUUUCAGGUGCAACAGGGCAAGUCACAAUUAGAGGUUGGAUGAUCACCUUUGAGGGCCGUGUAAUCUCUGAGGGCAUCCCACCAACAUUUGCAACGGGACUUACUGCUGUGUUUGCAAUCUACUACAUAUUCAACCUUCAGUAUCAAGAUGAGGCAGCCUGCACUCUGGAAUUCAUUCAGAGGCGCAUCAUUGGUAUAAAUCCAGAGAGCGGGACAAAGGCCAAAAUGGGCAAGGUUGUCUCCAAGAAGAAAGGUGUUAUCAUCCAGAAGAAGUCUUCUGCAGUCAAUACACACGUCGCCAUGUUUCUGAAGAAUCUCAUUGACUUGAAUGGAACUUGAUAUAGACCGUGGCAACACUGGAAUAAUGCUGCAGAGAGGAACAGCGGCAACCAAAGUGAUGGUCAUCUCUACUGGAUCCACAACAACUAAGAUGUAAAAACACAAACCUACCUCACAGGACUAUUUUAAGAUGUAAAAACACAUUUCCAUUCCAUAUUUCCAUUUUUUCCAUUUUUUGAAAGUAGCAAUAUUCAUGUUGACAUUGCUCUUUGAAAUAAAGGUAUUUGAUUUUGA